GAGCACAGUACAGCCCUCAACCAUACAGGGUCAGUACCUUGGACAGAUGAACUGAUCCGUCUGUAAAUACAGCCAUCAAUCUGUUGCUGUAGCGUGUGUGUGUGUGUGUUAGCUGUAGAUCCCUCUGCUCAGCCCUGUUGGUACUGCCUGAGGUCUCGCCCCACUGAGGAGAAAACUGAACCACAGGAGUCAGAGCCUGGAUCUCCAACGCCCUCUGGUGGCCAGAUGGUGAAGUACCAGACUGACCCCCGGCCUCACUUUGGUGUGGCCUGCUCCUCUCGCGCGCCCCCUCUCCCUCUGUGGGGCAGCGAGGGGCCACGCUGGGAACUGAGAGACCAGGAGCUGUCUGACCAGACACACACCUGCUCCCACUGCCAUCUAGGCUUACCACCUGACACACUUCUCUGGCACGAGGCUAAGUGUCUGCUGUUUGAUGGAGAGAAGAGCACAGAGAAUAAAUAGGGCGGAAUCUGCCAGAAGACAAGCUAUCUACAGUGUCUAUCUGUUUUCACUGUCUGUGUACUACUAACUCAGGAAAUUCUACCCGACAGUAUAUGCUUUAAUAAUAAUUUAUGUUAUGUUGGACUCCAGAAUGUCUAGACAUGUUUUCGAUCUUGUAUUAUACAUGAACUAUGCAAAUCCUGUGUUGUAUUACCACUGUGAAGUCAAUAAAUGAUGUAUCAUCAAA